CGCGCAGGCGGCUUUGCAAGUCAGGGGUGAAAUCCCAGAGCUCAACUCUGGAAUUGCCUUUGAGACUGCUUGGCUUCGAGUACGGGAGAGGUGAGUGGAAUUCCCAGUGUAGAGGUGAAAUUCGUAGAUAUUGGGAAGAACACCAGUGGCGAAGGCGGCUCACUGGCCCGUUACUGACGCUCAGGCGCGACAGCGUGGGGAUCAAACAGGAUUAGAUACCCUGGUAGUCCACGCCGUAAACGAUGGAUGCUAGCCGUUGGCAAGCUUGCUUGUCAGUGGCGCAGCUAACGCAUUAAGCAUCCCGCCUGGGGAGUACGGCCGCAAGGUUGAA
rnacentral:rRNA from 2 species